UACGGAGGGGGCAAGCGUUGUUCGGAGUUACUGGGCGUAAAGCGCGCGUAGGCGGUGCGGUAAGUCAGGGGUUAAAGGCUGCAGCUCAACUGCAGUAAGGCCUUUGAUACUAUCGCGCUAGAGUACCAGAGAGGAUGGCGGAAUUCCCGGUGUAGCGGUGAAAUGCGUAGAUAUCGGGAGGAAGGUCGGUGGCGAAGGCGGCCUCCUGGGCCUGCACUGACGCUGAGGCGCGAAAGCGUGGGGAGCGAACAGG
rnacentral:rRNA from 1 species